rnacentral:lncRNA from 1 species
UCGCUUUUUGAUCAAUCGUCGACUUUUGCUUCUCCAUCUGCUUCAGUUCUUCUCUUCUUGGAUCAUUUUCUGUACCCACCCAUGCCGAUAUUAUGCUCUCCAUUGACUUAGCCACCUAUUUGAGAUAAAUUUGGUUAAAAUAUAGGUAAUUAAAGAUUUACUAAGCUUCGUCCGCCUUCUUUAUUGAAUUUUUUAAAGAAAAUCAUGAUCGUGGACGUUUGGCACUCAAUAAUUUCAAUUUCGAGUCAAAGUUUCAGGUUUUGUCUUUACCCACUUUCUUUUUUUGUUUUUUGUUUUUGAGAUAAUGUCUUUACCCAAAAUUCUGUGAGGUGCAGGAAAAGCUUUCUGCAAAAGAUUAAAAGAUUGUUGUAUACCUCUUCUGGUCUGAGGAAGACGAUGUUCCCCAAAACGAUGACGUUUCCGGACUGGUCCAACAAUUUAGCCAACUCUACGGCUUGGUCCUCAUUGUUGCAUGCUUCAACGC